GAUGAACGCUGGCGGCGUGCCUAAUACAUGCAAGUCGAGCGAACAGACGAGGAGCUUGCUCCUCUGACGUUAGCGGCGGACGGGUGAGUAACACGUGGAUAACCUACCUAUAAGACUGGGAUAACUUCGGGAAACCGGAGCUAAUACCGGAUAAUAUAUUGAACCGCAUGGUUCAAUAGUGAAAUACGGUUUUGCUGUCACUUAUAGAUGGAUCCGCGCCGAAUUAGCUAGUUGGUAAGGUAACGGCUUACCAAGGCAACGAUGCGUAGCCGACCUGAGAGGGUGAUCGGCCACACUGGAACUGAGACACGGUCCAGACUCCUACGGGAGGCAGCAGUAGGGAAUCUUCCGCAAUGGGCGAAAGCCUGACGGAGCAACGCCGCGUGAGUGAUGAAAGUCUUCGGAUCGUAAAACUCUGUUAUUAGGGAAGAACAAAUGUGUAAGUAACUAUGCACGUCUUGACGGUACCUAAUCAGAAAGCCACGGCUAACUACGUG
rnacentral:rRNA from 1 species